rnacentral:misc_RNA from 1 species
UCCGUCUUGACGACGGCAGUCCCGCGCGACACGUAUAACGCGCGGCAAGGGUUGCGCUCGUUACCCCACUGAAGGGAACGUUUCACAACACGAGCUGACGACGACCAUGCAGCACCUGUAUCACACGUUCCCGAACGGGCACGGCGCCGUUUCUGGCGCGUUCGUGUGACUUUCAAGCCCAGGUAAGGUUCCUCGCUUGUUGUCGAAUUGAACCUCAUGGUCCACCGCUUGUGCGCCUCCCCGUCUAUUCCUUUGAGUUUUAGCCUUGCGGCCGUACUUCCCAGGCGGGGCACUUACCGCGUUAGCUCCGACACGGAACAAACGUCCCAUGCCUAGUGCCCAUCGUUUACGGCGUGGACUAC